rnacentral:rRNA from 1 species
AGCGAACGCUGGCGGCAUGCCUAACACAUGCAAGUCGCACGGUCGGGGGGUGACCUUCGGCAGUGGCGGACGGGUGAGUAACGCGUAGGGAUCUAUCCUUGGAUGGGGGACAACCGCGGGAAACCGCGGCUAAUACCGCAUGAUGCCUGAGGGCCAAAGCUCGCGAGAGCGUCUGGGGAGGAGCCUGCGUCCGAUUAGCUUGUUGGUGGGGUAACGGCCCACCAAGGCGUCGAUCGGUAGCUGGUCUGAGAGGAUGAUCAGCCACACUGGGACUGAGACACGGCCCAGACUCCUACGGGAGGCAGCAGGUGGGGAAUAUUGGACAAUGGGCGCAAGCCUGAUCCAGCAAUGCCGCGUGGGUGAAGAAGGUCUUCGGAUUGUAAAGCCCUUU